UAGCUCAACUGGUAGAGCAGGGGCAUUAACACUGCCAGGGUUAGGGGUUUGAUUCCCUGUCCA
rnacentral:tRNA from 1 species